rnacentral:rRNA from 1 species
UACGUAGGUGACAAGCGUUGUCCGGAUUUACUGGGCGUAAAGAGCGCGCAGGCGGCCGCGCAAGUCGAGUGUGAAAGCCCCGAGCUUAACUUGGGAAUUGCGCUCGAAACUACGUGGCUGGAGUGUGGCAGAGGAAGGUGGAAUUCCACGUGUAGCGGUGAAAUGCGUAGAGAUGUGGAGGAACACCGAUGGCGAAGGCAGCCUUCUGGGCCAACACUGACGCUCAUGCACGAAAGCGUGGGGAGCAAACAGG